CCUACGGGGUGCAGCAGUGGGGAAUAUUGCACAAUGGGCGCAAGCCUGAUGCAGCCAUGCCGCGUGUAUGAAGAAGGCCUUCGGGUUGUAAAGUACUUUCAGCGGGGAGGAAGGCGAUAAGGUUAAUAACCUUGUCGAUUGACGUUGCCCGCAGAAGAAGCACCGGCUAACUCCGUGCCAGCAGCCGCGGUAAUACGGAGGGUGCAAGCGUUAAUCGGAAUUACUGGGCGUAAAGCGCACGCAGGCGGUCUGUCAAGUCGGAUGUGAAAUCCCCGGGCUCAACCUGGGAACUGUAUUCGAAACUGGCAGGCUGGAGUCUUGUAGAGGGGGGUAGAAUUCCAGGUGUAGCGGUGAAAUGCGUAGAGAUCUGGAGGAAUACCGGUGGCGAAGGCGGCCCCCUGGACAAAGACUGACGCUCAGGUGCGAAAGCGUGGGGAGCAAACAGGAUUAGAUACCCGCGUAGUC
rnacentral:rRNA from 1 species